GACAGGAGAGAGAUUCAGUCCAAUUGUCCAGCUUAGCAUCGCCCAGUGAAGAGUCAGCAGACCUGGCUAAGACCUUUUCGUCUUCAGGACAGUUCCCUUGGAACUUUCUACCUCCGUUCUCAUGCUCUAGCUCUUCUCUAACUCACAACCAGAUUUCCUGCAGUGUGUGCUUUCUUGGGUCACCAGUGUUGGAAGGGUCAGCUCCUCUGACCACUCUCGUGAACGAAUGAAUUACAGGGAAAGCAAUGCCCGCUUAGGAGAGCCACGUGGGCUUGAUGAGAAAUAGCAACUUUUGAAAGGGGGAAACCCAAAUUCUUUACAAGGCAAACUAGAUCUGGCUAUUAAAUGUCCCUGCGGUUUGACAGGCCACCUAUGAGCCCAAAACAAUUGUUCAAGACUCCCUAAAUGUGGCUACCAGUUAAAUGCUCACAUGGUUGAAGGAAAUCCACCGUAACCAGAGAAGAACCUAGGCUCAGCCAAAAGAGUUGCUGAGUUAGGAUGCAGUUGGAAAAAGAAUCUUGCCCAUUUCUUUCUGAAUGGAAUUAGCUUUCUAUACGGAGUUGUUUUUGUGAUUUGUCUCACAAAGCCCACCUCCAUGAUCAAGGAUCCUGCUGAAGUGGAUGGAGAGAACUGAGCACCUAGCAGACAUAGUCCAUACUCUUUGUGUUGUGACAACAGAUGUCAAUCAAGAAGGGGCACGCACGAUGUGGUCCUCUUCUGCCUCAAUGUCAUAAACCCGUGGCAAAGUCUGAGUCCCAACUUCCACAGAACUCUGAUGCUAUGAGCAUCUGAACUGUGAUGCUGCCGCUGUGCAGAAAGGGCCAUGGAUGGAAGUAAACGAGUGGCCAGGGUUGUGUUUUAAUAAAACUUGGCAGAAAUAUCUAGCUGAUCAGACUUAUUCAAUCCCUGUAGUUGCCUAUCUCCUGGACUGGGGCAUUUAACCCCGCUGCAGAUUCUAUAGUUUAAAAAAAAAAAAGAAAAGAAAAGAAAAGAAACCAAGAAAUGUUACCGAAGAAACCAUGACUGUUCCUGGGUGCGGUGGCUGGUGAUUUCAAUCCAGUGUUUGAGAGUCUAAGGCAGGAGGCUUGUUCUCAGGCAGCUUGG
ensembl:lncRNA